AAGUCGUAACAAGGUUUCCGUAGGUGAACCUGCGGAAGGAUCAUUAGUGAAUAAAUAGGGUGUCCAAUUUAACUUGGAACCCGACCUUCUCACAUCUAACCCUGUGCAUCUGUAUUAAUGGCGAGCAAUUUUCGGAUUGUGAGCCAUUUCACUUUAUAAACACUAGUCUAUGAAUGUAAAAUUUUUAUAACAAAUAAAAACUUUCAACAACGGAUCUCUUGGCUCCCGCAUCGAUGAAGAACGCAGCGAAAUGCGAUAAGUAAUGUGAAUUGCAGAAUUCAGUGAAUCAUCGAAUCUUUGAACGCACAUUGCGCCCCCUGGUAUUCCGGGGGGCAUGCCUGUUCGAGCGUCAUUUCACCACUCAAGCCUCGCUUGGUAUUGGGCAACGCGGUCCGCCGCGUGCCUCAAAUCGUCCGGCUGGGUCUUCUGUCCCCUAAGCGUUGUGGAAACUAUUCGCUAAAGGGUGUUCGGGAGGCUACGCCGUAAAACAACCCCAUUUCUAAGGUUGACCUCGGAUCAGGUAGGGAUACCCGCUGAACUUAA
rnacentral:rRNA from 1 species